GCUGGCUCUGAGUCAGCAGAGCCCCAGAGAGAAGCAGCAGGUGCACGGCCUGCAGGGAAAUAGUUUUAAAGAGAAUAUUCAAGAAGCGAAAGCACUUAAGAAAACAUUCAAAGUUCUGAGAACACAUGAAAUCCACAAUCUAAUUGGUAUUUAACUACAACAGAAGCAUGUAGAUGAACAUUCACCACUGCCCAGACCAUUAAGAUUUUAGCUUAAAUUAGAAGAAAAAAAAAUGCUAUUGUAAACUAGGAAAUAUAGUCAGAUCAGCAUCCACAAGGCUUCUGAGUUUAUCUUCUUUAGGACUAACUCCAAAUCUCUAACGUCAGAAAAGUUUUUUUGACACAUAAGUCAACCUGUGCCAAUAUAAAAUAAAGCAAAACAAAACCAAAGAAUUCUCAUUGUUGGUAUUAGUCUAAGUUGGGUUUUUAAAAACCAUUAUUCAUGUAUAAUGCCAGAUACAAUAUCAUGGUACGGCUGAAGCCAAUUAAUAGAGCUAGUAAUUAAACUAUACCGAUUUUUUACUUCUUAAAAAAUUAUAUUUUGCUUAUUUCCAUUUUCCCUGGGGGGAGGGGGA